rnacentral:rRNA from 1 species
GACGUAGGGCGCGAGCGUUGUCCGGAUUUAUUGGGCGUAAAGAGCUCGUAGGCGGCUUGUUGCGUCAGCUGUGAAAACCCGCAGCUCAACUGUGGGCUUGCAGCUGAUACGGGCAGGCUUGAGUUCGGUAGGGGAGACUGGAAUUCCUGGUGUAGCGGUGAAAUGCGCAGAUAUCAGGAGGAACACCGGUGGCGAAGGCGACACGCUGGGCCGUACCUGACACUGAUGCGCGACAGCAUGGGGAGCAAACAGG